AGUGAACGCUGGCGGUAGGCCUAACACAUGCAAGUCGAACGGCAGCACAGUAAGAGCUUGCUCUUACGGGUGGUGAGUGGCGGACGGGUGAGGAAUACAUCGGAAUCUACUUUUUCGUGGGGGAUAACGUAGGGAAACUUACGCUAAUACCGCAUACGACCUACGGGUGAAAGCAGGGGAUCUUCGGACCUUGCGCGAUUGAAUGAGCCGAUGUCGGAUUAGCUAGUUGGCGGGGUAAAGGCCCACCAAGGCGACGAUCAGUAGCUGGACUGAGAGGAGGUUCACACACACUGGAACUAAGACACGAUCCAAACUACUACGGGAAGCAGCAGGGGGGAAAAUAGGACAAUGAGCACAAGCAUGAUCAAGACAUACCGCGUUGUUGAAGAAGGUAUUCGGGUUGUAAAGCCCUUUUGUUGGAAAAGAAAAGCAGCAGGUUAAUACCCCGCUGGUCUGACGGUACCCAAAGAAUAAGCACAGGCUAACUUCGUG
rnacentral:rRNA from 1 species